AUAGCAUUCAGGCAAGUUAAAUAAAUCUCUCAACGUGUGGAUCAACUAACUGCCAAGGAUACAGAAACAAUCCCAAGUGUCUGCGUAGCUCAGCGCCCCAAGUGUCUGAUUCUUGGUUUCAGCUUAGGUGAUAAUCACAAGGUUCAUGGGAUAGAGUCCCACAUCAGGGUCUGUGCUGACAGCAGGAAGUCUGUUUGGAAUUCAUUCAUUCUCUCUCUCUCUCUCUAUACCUCUGCCUCUUCCCCCCUCCCCAACCUUGCACCCACUCUCUCUCACAAAAUAAACAAAUAUUAAAAAAAAAAAAAUCCCAUAAUGCUUUUAAUGGUUCCACAA